rnacentral:lncRNA from 1 species
GGUGACUUGAUUUUGUCUGACCACCAUAUUCUCUCUCCUUCUCGUAAAGGACCCUAUCUAAGUUCCUUAGCUACAGAGGGAACACAGGAUCCAGGAUGAGUCCAUCAGAAUACUCCAUCUCUCUAGUCACACCCAAGAGUGAUGUUCUUCUGGAGUCCAGCAUCCUACCCUGCUCCAUCUGCAUGCAUUGCCUUGGAAUGCAGAGGUGUCUACUUUCCCCUUGGGUUCCACUUCGGAUUUUGAACCACUGCAUUUGCUAUUCGAAACCUCCCUUUCUGAUGGAAAUACUGUAUUGUUGAAAAGGAAGGAGUUAUCUCUCCUAAACUGACAUCAUGAGACUGGCAGGCUUUAUCCUUAUGCUCAUCGUUCUUGGUGUCACUCCCUCAGGUAAGCUCAAAUUAAAGUAAAUUAAAACUUCAUCGUUGUAGAAUGAUUUAAGCAAGGGAGGUGGAAAUACGAUAUUGAUAAUGUUAGAAUUACAAACUGUAAUGUAUAGGUAUCUUUAGGAUAAACUUUGGGAUGUGGUUCUAAUGGGUGAUUCUAGGAAAUCUGUUUAUUGCUAAAGAAAUCAUAGCUAUGUAUUCCAUAAUAUUUUUGCUGUUGUCAUUUUUCUGGGAUAUUCCUUUUGAAUCAUGAACUUGGUAGGAAGAUACAAAAGCAGGAAAAAUGUUACUGAAUGUUUCUCAGGAUUGUUAAAACAUCUGGCACAGAAAUUUACUCCAUCAACUUUUUUCUAUCAUGUCUACUAAUAAUCAUUAUAUCUGUGUGUAGUUCCUUAAUUUUAUCCAAUAUAUCCUAUACACCUGCAUACAAACUUUAAUAAAUUUGUGUGUAGGUUUACUUAGUAUGUUUGU